AAAGUCGUAACAAGGUUUCCGUAGGUGAACCUGCGGAAGGAUCAUUAAAAAGAUUAGAGGUUUUACAACCUUUUUUUCUUGUGAACUGGGUUCUUUUGAACCGUUAUUUUGAUGUUUGUAUUUUUGUUUUAGUGUUAAAUCACAUUGACAACUUUCAGCAAUGGAUCUCUUGGCUCUU
rnacentral:misc_RNA from 1 species